CUCAUGAAUUUAAUAGCCGCAAUUAGUGCUAAGGUAGCAUAAUAAUUUGUCUUCUAAUUAAAGACUUGAACAAAAGAUUUAACACUUUUACUUAUUUAUUUAUAUUAAAAAUUAAAAUUUUUAUUAAAAUUAAAAAAUUUUAAUAAAAUAAAAAGACGACAAGACCCUAUUGAACUUAACUUAAGUUUAACUGGGGUAGUUAAUUAAUUAUAAUUUUAAUAUUUAAAUAUUUAAAUAAAUAUCCAUUUAUAUGAAUUAUCCAGUUACCAUAGGGAUAACAGCGCAAUUAAAUUUUAAAGAUCAUAUAAAAAAUUUAGAUUACGACCUCGAUGUUGAAUUAACAUUCUAUUUAAAGCAAAUUUUAAAUAAGAAAGUCUGUUCGACUUUUAAAAAGUUACAUGAUUUGAGUUCAGACCGGUAUAAGCCAGGUCGGUUUCUAUCUUUUUAAAAAUAUUUACAGUACGAAAGGACCUAAAAAUUUAAUAUCAUUAUUUAUAUGGCAGAACAAUGCAUUAGAAUUAGAAUCUAAUAAAAUAAAA
rnacentral:rRNA from 1 species